UACGGAGGGUGCGAGCGUUGUCCGGAAUCAUUGGGCGUAAAGGGCGCGUAGGUGGCCCGGUCAGUUCGUGGUGAAAGCGCGGGGCUCAACUCCGCGUCGGCCAUGAAUACUGCUGGGCUGGAGCACUGUAGAGGCAGGCGGAAUUCCGGGUGUAGCGGUGGAAUGCGUAGAGAUCCGGAAGAGCACCGGUGGCGAAGGCGGCCUGCUGGGCAGUUGCUGACACUGAGGCGCGACAGCGUGGGGAGCAAACAGG
rnacentral:rRNA from 1 species